rnacentral:ncRNA from 1 species
UCUAAGUGGCGUCGCCCUAGUUAUACUGAAGCAGAAUUCAGUAAGUAUUGGAUUGUUCGCCCACUAUAGGGGGACAAGACCUGGCGUUUAGACCGUGUUGACAGGUU